rnacentral:lncRNA from 1 species
UUUGGUCAAACAUUAUUCUUGAUGUCUCUGCAAGACUGUUUUGGGGGUGAAAUUAACAGGCAAGUUGGUGAGCUUUGGUGAAGCAAACAACCUUACAUGAUGUGAGUGGUCCUUGUGCCCAGUUGAAGCCAGCCCCAUCCUGAAUGCCCAGCGGUGCCCACAGCCAGGAGGAGCAUUCGAUGUGUGAUGACUCAUCUCGUGCAUCAGACGCUCUCUAAAGUUCCCACAGAUUAUACCAUGGCUUAGUGAGUGCGAUUCUAAGACAGUUCCAAAAGACUUUUCAAUCCGUGGGAGUUUCAAAGUGGAUUCUCAGACAAACAUGGGGAGGACUGAGGCAGGCUUGGACACGCACAGAAUCAGACAACGAUGGGCUGAGGAAGUGGCUCAGCGGUUAAGAGCACUGUCUGCUCUUCCAAAGGUCCGGAGUUCAAAUCCCUGCAACCACAUGGUGGCUCACAACCAACUGUAAUGAGAUCUGGCGCCCUCUUCUGGAGUGUCUGAAGACAGAUACAGUGUACUUACAUAUAGUAAAUAAAUAAAUCUUAAAAAAAAAAAAAA